rnacentral:tRNA from 1 species
GCUUCUUUAGCUCAGUUGGUUAGAGCAUCUGACUGUUAAUCAGAGGGUCCCUGGUUCGAGCCCAGGAAGGAGCGCUA